rnacentral:rRNA from 1 species
AAAGAAACUAACAAGGAUUCCCUUAGUAACGGCGAGUGAACCGGGAAAAGCUCAAAUUUGAAAUCUGGCUGUCUUCGAUAGUCCGAGUUGUAAUCUAUAGAAGCGUUUUCCGUGCUGAACUGUGUAUAAGUGUCUUGGAACAGACUAUCAAAGAGGGUGACAAUCCCGUACUUUACACAAUCAUCAGUGCUCUGUGAUACGUUCUCUACGAGUCGAGUUGUUUGGGAAUGCAGCUCAAAAUGGGUGGUAAAUUCCAUCUAAAGCUAAAUAUUGGCGAGAGACCGAUAGCGAACAAGUACCGUGAGGGAAAGAUGAAAAGCACUUUGGAAAGAGAGUUAAACAGUACGUGAAAUUGUUAAAAGGGAAACGAUUGAAGUCAGUCGUGUUUAUUGGAUUCAGCCGGUCUUCGGUGUACUUCCUUUAAACGGGUCAACAUCAGUUUUGUCCGGUGGAUAAAGGCAGUAGGAAUGUGGCUCCCUCGGGAGUGUUAUAGCCUAUUGUCACAUACACUGGAGGAGACUGAGGACUGCAGCUCGCCUUUUUGGCCGGGGUUCGCCCACGUUCGAGCUUAGGAUGUUGACAUAAUGGCUUUAAACGAC